UACGUAGGGGGCUAGCGUUGUCCGGAAUCAUUGGGCGUAAAGCGCGCGUAGGCGGCCCGGUAAGUCCGCUGUGAAAGUCAAAGGCUCAACCUUUGAAUGUCAGCGGAUACUGCCGGGCUAGAGUCCGGAAGAGGCGAGUGGAACUCCUGGUGUAGCGGUGGAAUGCGUAGAUAUCAGGAGGAACACCGGUGGCGAAGGCGGCUACCUGGACAGAGUCUGACGCUGAGGCACGAAAGCUAGGGGAGCAAACAGG
rnacentral:rRNA from 1 species